rnacentral:rRNA from 1 species
UACGUAGGGUGCAAGCGUUGUCCGGAAUUAUUGGGCGUAAAGAGCUUGUAGGCGGUUUGUCGCGUCUGCUGUGAAAUUUCGGGGGCUCAACCCCGAACUUGCAGUGGGUACGGGCAGACUAGAGUGUGGUAGGGGAGACUGGAAUUCCUGGUGUAGCGGUGAAAUGCGCAGAUAUCAGGAGGAACACCGAUGGCGAAGGCAGGUCUCUGGGCCAUAACUGACGCUGAGAAGCGAAAGCAUGGGGAGCGAACAGG